rnacentral:rRNA from 1 species
UACGAAGGGUGCAAGCGUUACUCGGAAUUACUGGGCGUAAAGGGUGCGUAGGUGGUUGUUUAAGUCUGUUGUGAAAGCCCCGGGCUCAACCUGGGAAUGGCAAUGGAUACUGGACAGCUAGAGUGCGGUAGAGGGGUAGUGGAAUUCCCGGUGUAGCAGUGAAAUGCGUAGAGAUCGGGAGGAACACCAGUGGCGAAGGCGGCUACCUGGACCAGCACUGACACUGAUGAGCGAAAGCCAGGGAGCGAAACGGG